ensembl:lncRNA
CUGGAGAUCCUUAGCGUGUGCAGGAGGCUGGGGAGGUGAAUGAGUUAGUCCUGUCUUUUAAACAAGAAAACAGCUAUGCCUGUGGGCUGAAUUUAGGUCAGACUGGAAACUAGAACUCUGAAAAUAAACUUUUCUCCCCCCGAAUGGUGCUGCAAAAGCCUUGUAUUCAGGUAAAGGCUUAUAAUUGUUUGAGCAUUGGGAGAAAAAAUUCUGCUGCUGCAAGGCAAGCCUGAUGUGUCACAGCACAGCUUGGAGAUGAGAUGUGACACUGUCUUGGAGCUUGAGGUCUGUCUGUCCGGGCCCAGGAAGAUGGAUGGCUUUGCGGUGUUGUUUGAAAGCUGCACUGACCUGGAGAGUGAAAGCUGGGUUACAAGGUGCUUGCUAACUGAGGCUUCGUGGUCAGCAUAUAUCACUAGUGGAUGAGUCUGGCGUUUGUCAAGCCCCAGAACAUGAUGAACAACCCAUUACCACCAGAGUAAUGGAGAGGUCUGAACGUCCACAAAUGACAACCGGGAGCAAUUGAAGUAUGAUGGGGAAGGAGGAUGGGCUGCAGCUCCAGGUGAAAAGAAGAAUUGGAUCAACAGCUGAUACUGAGAGAGGCAGGAGGUUUUCACUCCCUUCAAGACUCCAUAUUGUAUGUUUUUCCAGACUAUCCUAUAAAUAAAAAGUCAUUAAGAUACAGUGCCCCUGGCUAUAAUAUCCAAGGAUAAGUAUUUGAGAUGCAAUGAGAGAUGCUCAGGGAAUUGAUAAGUCUUUAGGAGAAAAAAUUUCUUGAGAUCAAUUUCCUGAUUCAAUACUGAAGUCUUCCUAUCAUACAAAAAGUAAUGUGAUUGUCCAUGGCUCUAAUAAAAUCUCAAUUUUUUUUUUCUACCAAGCUUUCAUCUAUAAAAAUCAAAUUUAUCCAGCAUUAGUCUGCAUUUUGAAAGAAAUGGCUUUCUCUUGAUAUGAUAUUAAUCCGUUAUGAUGCAUUAAUAUGGGAGAACAAUAAUUUGUUGCAUUUUUUUCAAACAGAAAUGAUCAGCUGGGAGAUAGGCAUAAUAAUUGUCUUUGUCCUUCAUUGUCACAGGCCAUUAGCUAAUGAAUUUAAGCUGUUCUUGGCUCUUGCUCCAAUAAGAAAACUACAUUAGAGAUCGUGUAGCCUCAGUGUUACAUAAAACCUUUCUGUGGGUUUUAUUUUGGUCUCACUGAGGUGAUUCUGCAGUGCACUGAGAAAUGCAUCAUGACUUCGCAGCAAACAAUGAGGUCAACAUUAACUGAUGUAGUGGGUCUAGCAAACUGAAGUCCAUCUACAGCGAGUAACGUUGCCAGAAGCUACAGCCUCUUUGUUUGGUUCCUUCUAGCCAAACAAGUCUAGGGGUAAUGGUCUUAAACUGAGACAGGGGUGGUUUAGGUUGGAUACUAGGAGGAAGUUUUUCACCCAGAGGGUGGUGACGCACUGAACAGGUUGCCCAAGGAGGCUGUGGAUGCCCCAUCCCUGGAGGCAUUCAAGGCCAGGCUGGAUGUGGCUCUGGGCAGCCUGGUCUGCUGGUUGGCGACCCUGCACAUAGCAGGGGUAUGAAACUACAUGAUCACUGUGGUCCUUUUCAACCCUGGCCAUUCUAUGUUUCUGUGAUUCUAAUUCAGUCAGACUUUUCAUGCCUGUUUUUUAUGACUGUUUCAGGUUGAUCUUUUGAAUGGGAAGAUUUGCUAAACUUGUUCAACUCUUCUAAGAUUGAUACUAGGAAAAAUAAGUAACUUCGGCAAUGCUUUAAAUAAGCAACAGGAGCACAUGGCUGUAAGUUGCACCAUCCCAUCAUCUUUGCAGUUUGCCCUCUCAAUGAGAAGUCUGACAAAAGAAAAUCCUGUGAAGGAAGAAAUGCUCUUCACUGUCCUCCUGAAAAAUCCACUCAUCUCCUGGCCAUGUGUACAACACAUCACAUACAGAUGCGCAGCAGAAUUUAUUUUGCAAUCAUUCCUUUCCCAACAAAAUGAUUUCGAUCUGCUGGAAGGGAAGUGCAUUAGAAAUCACAAAACUAGAGUACAAGUCUUAUCUUUCCUAUUGACUGUAGCAUGUAUUGGCCAACUGUAGGAGUCGGCCAACUGUGAGACUGUAAACCCAACAUUUAAAGGUAGGUGAGCAUCAAUACUCUUUUGUUGCAGAGCUAAGAGGUUGUAUAAGAUAACCUUUGACAGAGCUGGGAAUGGACAUGACUUUCAGACAUUUUAUCAAACUGCUUCUCUGCACCGCGUUGUUCCAUUGCCUGGCUGGCACCAGUGCUCCUUCUGCAGACCAGAGAGCAUGGGAUGGCCUCUUCCUGCAGCUCCUCUUUCCCCAGCCCUUCUAAGCCCCUCCAGCAAGAGCUGUCUUCUGCCUCUUCCUGGCAGAGCCACAGCUCGCCAGCUCAGCUGGGGGGCAUCAUCUUUGGGAUGCAAGAGUGCUGCGCUGAGGGCGGGUGCCAGGCAGCAGCCAUCAUCCAUUGCCCUACACCGAUAACGCUUAGAGCCUUGCUGACAGAAGCUGAUACGCACCACAGGUAAAUUCAAUGUGCAUGAAAGGACUCUUGUUCUUCUUCAGCACAGAGCAUAAAGGCAUACUGUCAGACAAAUUAAUUUCUGAUAGCUUUCUUUUCAACAGCAUUGAGCUGUUAUUUUUCCUGGGCUUUGCCAGAACUUCCGAUUUAUCUGUUGUUCCCCUAAACAGAC